UCUGCUCUGAAAUUAAUUCACAUCAUCACACAAAAAAAAACUUCCAGUUAUAAAUACGUAUUCUAGUCACCAACCCACCACAAUUUAAAACUCUGCACUAAAACCUUAAAUCGUAGCAAAUGGCGAAUAAUUUUAUCCUUCACCAAGCCAUAGAAUUGACACGUAUCAGUACCCAGACGGCCUUGCAAAUUGACCUUGACCCCAUCUCACUCGCCCUUUCCAACUAUCUCAUUCUGAAAACAAUUUUGACUCAUUUCCUACACGAAUCGGGAACUAAAACCAGCCUUACGAAGAAAUACUUUUCACUCCUCAGAUACAGAUUGGUUAACAAAUCUUGGAACUCUGCCAUCUUAUCGGUCACAUUUACCCCAUUUUGGUUCCCUCUUCGCAACUUAUUUUACCAAAAGAGUGGCGAAUGCUGCACAGUUGUCGUCUCCCCUCCGUUAAUUAAUCCCUUACUUUGUCGACGUCUUUUAAUAUCAAAGUUACGUUGUCAACUUGAGAGUAAAAAUCAACACGCCAGGGAACAAAGUAUUGCAGCAGGGAGGACAAACAUUUUCAGUUUUCUGAAAAAAUACCACCAAGAAGUUACCAGUCUGGAUUUUGAGUUGGAAUCCAAAUUUGAGAAAACCUUAGUGUCCAUAUUUUUGGAGUAUUGCUUAAAUGUGAGAAGUCCACAAAUUAACUGUUUAAAGUGCCAAGUUAAAACCGACUUUAGUCAAAUGGACCUUAAUUUCAGGGGCAACGAUGGCUUGAAACAUUUAAGAAUUUGUAACAGGAAGAAACGUGGCAGUGCUCCACUGAAGAAGAAGUUUAUAAACAAAUUGUUAUAUAAAGCUCCAAAUUUGGAGAGUUUAUCGAUUCAUUGCGUCCACUUUCCAGAUUUAAGAUGUAAUUCGAACUUGAAAGAAUUGGAGGUGCGUGGAAGCACACAAGGUGGGAUUCUGGUUGAUGCAAGAAAUUUGUGUGGAAUGCUGAACCAGGUCUGCAAUACUUUGGAGAAAUUGUCCCUUGGAACAGCCCAUGAUGCCUUUUUUGCUUGCAAGUCGGACUUCCCGCUGUUCGAAUUACCUGCGAUGCCAAGACUGAAAAUCUUCAAAAAUUAUAUCCCUCUCGUACUGCCGCCCCUUAAUCCCAUCGUUACGCCAAAUUUGGAAAGUCUCACUAUAACUUAUCCUCCUCAAGUAGAGAUUCCGCCAACAUUUUUCCAAGAUCUGGACACUGUUAGAUAUUUGAAAAUCGUUAAACUCCCAUUUCAAAAUCUUGUCCAAUUAUGUUGCACUUUCCGGUACGAUCCAUCAUUUGAAUGUAGCAAUUUCUUACUAAUUUUGUUUGGCGCGUGUGCUCAGCUACAUUUGACGACUUUGAAGCUUUUUUUGAGCCAUGUGUACUCAUUUGGUCAAUUAGUUCGAGCUUGGAUAAAACAUGGAGAAAAACUUUUUUCACGUGGCUCACUAAAAACAUUUGAACUGCAUACCUUGUUUUUCUGCGAUGUACAGCCAAACAAUAUUUGCUGUUGUAAAAGGACAAAUCCCUUUCUUAAUACGUGGACUACUUUACUUUUACAAACAAGAAAAAUGGAUAAAGUUUUCCUGGCCAAUUUCAAGGAGAGAAAUAAAUACAUUUCCGAAAUCUGUUUUCAGAAAUUUUUUCAUCCUUAACCUUUUAUGUCGGAAAGAGGACAAUUGUCUAUUUCCUGAGGAAUGGUUUAAUUCGGGAGGAGGACAAUUGUCGUUUUCGGAAUGUCAUUUAUUUUCACCAUUUUCUCUACGCGAUGUAAAAUCUGCCAUUUCGGAGGAUUAUCCCAACCAAAUGUUGAAUUUCAACAUUUUCUUGCCGAAAAAGACGAUAUUUCCCAAUAUAACGCUAUGUUAAAUUUUGGAUGCUUCAACUUUUUCUUAAACUACUGAAUUUCUCUCGCACCAUGACCACAAAAUUUUUAUAAUGUGCCAGAAAUAAUGCAUUUUCCUUAGUUAAUCAUACUCCUUAAAGGGUUAAAAGAAAAGAAUACAUUAAUUUCAGAUGACUUCCUUGGAUGAAAUUACAAUUUCGAAUUUUAUCAAAGCCAACAACCUCCCCGUGGUCGUGACGAAACGCGGAGAUCACGAAAUAAAGGGUGGUGAAGUGCAUCCGCAUUGCAUCAUUUUUACGAUAUUUUGCAUCGGAUUUUUAUUCUUUCAAAUGGCAGUUGUUCUUCCGUUCAGAUAUAACUUGGAAUUUCACAGUAACAACAGCAGUGUGACCAACAAUCAAACGG